rnacentral:rRNA from 1 species
GACAGAGGGGGCAAGCGUUGCUCGGAAUCACUGGGCGUAAAGGGCGCGUAGGCGGGAUGGCAAGUCAGUCGUGAAAUCUCUCGGCUCAACCGAGAAACGUCGGCUGAUACUGCCGUUCUUGAGGGAUGCAGAGGAGACUGGAAUUCCCGGUGUAGCGGUGAAAUGUGUAGAGAUCGGGAGGAACACCGGUGGCGAAGGCGGUUCUCUGGGCAUUACCUGACGCUGAGGAGCGAAAAGUGUGGGGGAGCGAACAGG